rnacentral:rRNA from 1 species
AACGAACGCUGGCGGCAGGCUUAACACAUGCAAGUCGAACGCCACCUUCGGGUGGAGUGGCAGACGGGUGAGUAACGCGUGGGAACGUACCUUUCGGUUUGGAAAGUUCUCGGGAAACUGAGAGCAAUAACAAAUACGCCCUAUGGGGGAAAGAUUUAUUGCCGAAAGAUCGGCCCGCGUUAGAUUAGGUAGUUGGUAGGGUAAUGGCCUACCAAGCCUACGAUCUAUAGCUGGUCUGAGAGGAGGAUCAGCCACAUUGGGACUGAGACACGGCCCAAACUCCUACGGGAGGCAGCAGUGGGGAAUAUUGGACAAUGGGCGCAAGCCUGAUCCAGCCAUGCCGCGUGAAUGAUGAAGGCCUUAGGGUUGUAAAAUUCUUUCAACGGUGACGAUAAUGACGGUAACCUUAGAAGAAGCCCCGGCUAACUUCGUGCCAGCCGCCGCAGUAA